rnacentral:rRNA from 1 species
AAAUUGAAGAGUUUGAUCAUGGCUCAGAUUGAACGCUGGCGGCAGGCCUAACACAUGCAAGUCGAGCGGAAACGAGUUAUCUGAACCUUCGGGGAACGAUAACGGCGUCGAGCGGCGGACGGGUGAGUAAUGCCUAGGAAAUUGCCCUGAUGUGGGGGAUAACCAUUGGAAACGAUGGCUAAUACCGCAUGAUGCCUACGGGCCAAAGAGGGGGACCUUCGGGCCUCUCGCGUCAGGAUAUGCCUAGGUGGGAUUAGCUAGUUGGUGAGGUAAGGGCUCACCAAGGCGACGAUCCCUAGCUGGUCUGAGAGGAUGAUCAGCCACACUGGAACUGAGACACGGUCCAGACUCCUACGGGAGGCAGCAGUGGGGAAUAUUGCACAAUGGGCGCAAGCCUGAUGCAGCCAUGCCGCGUGUGUGAAGAAGGCCUUCGGGUUGUAAAGCACUUUCAGUCGUGAGGAAGGUAGUGUAGUUAAUAGCUGCAUUAUUUGACGUUAGCGACAGAAGAAGCACCGGCUAACUCCGUGCCAGCAGCCGCGGUAAUACGGAGGGUGCGAGCGUUAAUCGGAAUUACUGGGCGUAAAGCGCAUGCAGGUGGUUUGUUAAGUCAGAUGUGAAAGCCCGGGGCUCAACCUCGGAAUUGCAUUUGAAACUGGCAGACUAGAGUACUGUAGAGGGGGGUAGAAUUUCAGGUGUAGCGGUGAAAUGCGUAGAGAUCUGAAGGAAUACCGGUGGCGAAGGCGGCCCCCUGGACAGAUACUGACACUCAGAUGCGAAAGCGUGGGGAGCAAACAGGAUUAGAUACCCUGGUAGUCCACGCCGUAAACGAUGUCUACUUGGAGGUUGUGGCCUUGAGCCGUGGCUUUCGGAGCUAACGCGUUAAGUAGACCGCCUGGGGAGUACGGUCGCAAGAUUAAAACUCAAAUGAAUUGACGGGGGCCCGCACAAGCGGUGGAGCAUGUGGUUUAAUUCGAUGCAACGCGAAGAACCUUACCUACUCUUGACAUCCAGAGAACUUUCCAGAGAUGGAUUGGUGCCUUCGGGAACUCUGAGACAGGUGCUGCAUGGCUGUCGUCAGCUCGUGUUGUGAAAUGUUGGGUUAAGUCCCGCAACGAGCGCAACCCUUAUCCUUGUUUGCCAGCGAGUAAUGUCGGGAACUCCAGGGAGACUGCCGGUGAUAAACCGGAGGAAGGUGGGGACGACGUCAAGUCAUCAUGGCCCUUACGAGUAGGGCUACACACGUGCUACAAUGGCGCAUACAGAGGGCGGCCAACUUGCGAAAGUGAGCGAAUCCCAAAAAGUGCGUCGUAGUCCGGAUUGGAGUCUGCAACUCGACUCCAUGAAGUCGGAAUCGCUAGUAAUCGUGGAUCAGAAUGCCACGGUGAAUACGUUCCCGGGCCUUGUACACACCGCCCGUCACACCAUGGGAGUGGGCUGCAAAAGAAGUAGGUAGUUUAACCUUCGGGGGGACGCUUACCACUUUGUGGUUCAUGACUGGGGUGAAGUCGUAACAAGGUAGCGCUAGGGGAACCUGGCGCUGGAUCACCUCCUUAUACGAUGAU